CAAUCUCUGAAUGGUACUGUGAAAAGUACAACGAGAGCAGGGACAUUUGUGACGUUGCCUGAUGGGAGUGAAGGAUUCCUUCCCAGAGAAGAGGAAGCAUUAGCAUUAUUUACCCUUAUCGGACAAUCUGCAAUGGAAAUUGGUAAACAGAUAAGGGUUAAAGUACUGAAUGUGGCACAUGUUCAGGCCACUUUGAUAAUGAAAGGGGUGGAAGAUGAUGAAGACGAUCUGAAGACGCUAAAUAUGGAGCUUAAGCGGGACUGGUCCAGAGGGACUAAUGCGUUCGAGUUGGCUUCCGUAGGAACAAAGAGAUCUUUGCAUUCUUGUAUCAGAGGGAAAGGACCAAAGUGCCGGCUGAUACUUCAGUUUCUGCUCCGGAAGCUGAAAGCUAUCAGGAGGAAGCUGCUCCAAAAGAUGAGGAAAGUAGUGAAGAAUUGAGCUCUGUGUCAGAAGUAGCAACUGAUGUUUCUCCUCCUUUAUCUGAUGCCUCCUCUUAGGUGGGAAUUCAGGAUUCUACUUCUGUGGCAAAUGUUGUUGAGGACCAAACUGUAGGAUCUGAAAGUUCACCUACAAUUAGUGUUGAAUUGUCCUCCAACGGGACCCCAGAUAGAUCUAUUGUGUCUCCAGUUUCAGAAACUGCAGAUAAACCUACUGAACCUAAAGAAUCUUCAGCGGUAGAAGAGGUUCUUGUAACUGCAAGCAGCGAGGCAGGGAAAGAACCAGCUGCUGACACUGAGGCUGUACCAGCCUUGAGUGAGAAAACUGGUGCCGAGGUUGUUGCUACUGCUGGAGUUGCACAAGCAAGCACCACGACAUGUCUGUAGUAAUUUUAUCAGUGAGUCAGCGAUGGUGUCCCCUCAAAGCUUUCACAUGCAAUAAUCUGAUAAGCCAUGACUUAUCUGCAAAAGCCUCUUGAAGAAGCAACUCUACCUAAUUAGAAUAGAAUAGGGGGUGCUAUAAAUAGAUUGCAAGAAACCUGUUACAAGCUACUGUUUUUUCCCAGUUAUUUUUAUUCGAAUUUUUUGUUACAUGGAUGAUAGAUGUUUCACACAUUGGUACCAAUCAUUGAGUUCUGCCCGUGGUAGCCAAAAGGGUGGAUCCUGCAUAGAUCAUGAAACUCACCUUCUAAUGUAUUAUUUUGAUCAAUCAUUUAUCCACAUUUGCAAAUAUUUUUUCUUUGAUU